rnacentral:SRP_RNA from 1 species
GCCGGGCGUGGUGGCGGGCGCCUGUGGUCCCAGCUACUUGGGAGGCUGAGGCAGGAGAAUGGCGUGAACCUGGGAGGCGGAGGUUGCAGUGAGCUGAGAUUGCGCCACCACACUCCAGCCUGGGUGAGAGCGAGACUCCGUCUCAAAAAAAAAAAAGUUUUUUGAAAACAUAAGACAGCCUUAAAAGAGUCUGUUCUUUUUUUUUUUUUUUUUUUGAGGCGGAGUCUCGCUCUGUCGCCCAGGCUGGAGUGCAGUGGCGCGAUCUCGGCUCACUGCAAGCUCCGCCUCCCGGGUUCCCGCCAUUCUCCUGCCUCAG